AACGAACGCUGGCGGCGUGCCUAACACAUGCAAGUCGUGCGAGAAAGUUCCUUCGGGAGCGAGUAAAGCGGCGCACGGGUGAGUAACACGUAGGUAACCUGCCCCCCAGUCUGGAACAACUAGAGGAAACUCUAGCUAAUGCCGGAUGAGACCACGAUCCCUUCGGGGGUUGCGGCCAAAGAUGGCCUCUACUUGUAAGCUAUCGCUGAGGGAUGGGCCUGCGGCCAUUAGCUUGUUGGUGAGGUAACGGCUCACCAAGGCUGUGAUGGCUAGCUGGUCUGAGAGAUGACCAGCCACACUGGGACUGAGACACGGCCCAGACUCCUACGGGAGGCAGCAGUGGGAAUA
rnacentral:rRNA from 1 species